rnacentral:rRNA from 1 species
GCGAACCGGGGGAACUGAAACAUCUAAGUACCCCGAGGAAAAGAAAUCAACCGAGAUUCCGAAAGUAGCGGCGAGCGAAAUUGGACUAGCCCUUAAGCUUUACACGCGUUAGACGAACGGUCUGGAAAGUCCGACGAUACAGGGUGAUAGUCCCGUAGUUGACGACGUGUGUUCAGUGAAAUCGAGUAGGGCGGGACACGUGAUAUCCUGUCUGAAUAUGGGGGGACCA